rnacentral:rRNA from 1 species
UAAUACGUAGGCAGCAAGCGUUGUUCGGAGUUACUGGGCGUAAAGAGUGUGUAGGCGGUUCGCUAAGUUUGGUGUGAAAUCUCCCGGCUUAACUGGGAGGGUGCGCCGAAUACUGGCGGGCUAGAGUGUGGGAGAGGGAAGCGGAAUUCCUGGUGUAGCGGUGAAAUGCGUAGAUAUCAGGAGGAACACCGGUGGUGUAGACGGCUUCCUGGACCACAACUGACGCUGAGACACGAAAGCGUGGGGAGCAAACAGGAUUAGAUACCCUGGUAGUCCACGCCCUAAACGAUGCGGACUUGGUGUGGGCAGUUCAGUCUGUCCGUGCCGGAGCUAACGCGUUAAGUCCGCCGCCUGGGGAGUACGGUCGCAAGGCUG